AGCCGUGUGAUGAACUCAAAGCGAAUUAUUCUUUCGCCUUUUACUAAAGAAUACCGUGAGUUCGUCAUCAUAAGCGGCAUACGCAACUUUAUGGAAGGGUUCCCUUGUGGCCGCC
rfam:Vigna angularis cultivar Jingnong 6 scaffold282_97, whole genome shotgun sequence.